rnacentral:misc_RNA from 1 species
GGCAAAUUUUUUGGAAACUUGAACUAAUAUAGUUUUAUUUCAAGUAAUCAAAGUUGAUUACACUCCAAAGGCAAGGUUCAAUGCGAGUGUCAAAAAUUUUCAUACCAAACUUUUGAACAAAUGCCAAACUACAUCAACCUCACAGAAUACAAUAUGUUGUACAUUCCAAAAAAGUCUAGACAACCACAGCAGCAGAAGCAGUAUUUUUACCAGAUUUCAUAGAACAAAAAAGAUUUAAAACAUCAGCAUGGUUACGGAUGUAACAUGGGCAUUUGGACAGGAAAUCUUGUGCUUCAGCAUGCCUCCCAGCCUUGAAAAAGGCCUUGAAUAAACGAAGAACCACUGAUGUAGAUGGAAACUUUUUGGAAGUCAUAGACUUCAUAAAAGCUACAGCAUCAUCACCUGUUCCAGACUUCGUCACAUGCUUAAUAAAUGGAUCCACAAAGGGAGGAAAACCAUGAUUUUUCAUCAAAUCCAACAGAUUCAAGGCAUCUGCAAAUCCAUCCUGAACCAAUAAUUUAUUUAUCAAUCCUUUGUAGGUGGUAUGCCGAGGCGCUAACUGAUUAUGAAAAACGUAGCCAUGCAGAAGCUUGCAUGCAUCUAUAGCUCUGUUCUUGUAACAAUAAGCAUUUACCAAAGAUUCAAAGGCAUAAAUAGCAUUAGAAACUCCCUCCUUUUCAAUCAGUUUUUGGAAACAAUCAGAUGCAUUCUCAAGAUCCCCAGAUGCACAAUGCCCUUCAAUUAAAGAUGUCCAUGCCUUGUAAUCCAAAUUACUCCCAGAUGCUUCCAUAUGAUCCACAAAUUCACUCACUUUAUCCUUGUUCCCAGCACAACUAAGCCUGAAGACAAUCUUUCUCUGUAGAUUACCACUAGCUACAAACCCACCUUCCUUCAUUUCUUUCAAAACCUUAUUGCACUCUCCAAAUCUACCAACAGUUGUUAGAGAUUUAAGAACUGCAUUAAGCAUAGAAUCUGUCAAUGCAUAAUCAUUUCCAAUAAAGAUCCUUACAACCCUUGAAAACAAAUUCAUAUCAAAUUCUUUACCAACCACUAUCUUCUUCAACAAAAAGGUGCAGCAUUGCACUGAAGGCUUAUUAGUGCCACCCAUUGCAAACUCAUACAAGUCCACAGCCUCCUUAAUCAUUUUCCUCUUUACAAACCGUGCCAAAACCUUGACAUAUAUCUCCUCCUCCAUUUCAUAUCCAUUGCUCCUCAUUUCAUCAACCACCUUCCAAAACCUGUCAAUACAAUCUUCCCUUCCCAAAACCAUAGCCAUUGCAUUAUAACUCCUUUCAUCAUGCUUAUACAGCCCACUGUCCUCGACCCACCUAAAAAAUAUCAAUGCUUUUAUAGGUUCCAUACCUAAAUUCUCCAAUACAAUCUUCACCAAAUUACUUGAAAAUGCUACAUUUAAAUCAUUAAUCUGCUGUUCAACAUCUUCUCCCCAAACUUGAUUCCUAACAAUCCUACUCACCCUCAAACCAAUCUUUUCCACAGAAUUAUCUACAGAUCCUGUCGCAAAAAGUGCUUUCAUCUUCUCCAGAUCACUCCUUAAUCCUUCUUUCUCAAAUUUCUCCACUACUUUGUCCCGUGCACCCUUUGACACACCAUAACCUUUUUUCUUCAUGGUUUCAACUAAAGCCCAAAAUUGCUCAACGGGCCCAUUAACACCCAGAAUUCCCAGCAUCAAAUUAUAAGCUCUGGAGCUCAAUCUUUCACUGUCCUUCUCCAAAACCCAAUCGAAAAACCUUUGAGCCACAUCAGGGCUAGACUCGAGGGACUUCAAGACUUUCAAUACCAAUUCAUGGUUAAUAACAACACUGUUUAACUCCAAUUCUUUGGUAAUAUCAUUGAUAUCAGUAAAUUUAGUGAAAAUAUCAUAUACAAGAAAACAAUGAUCCGUGUCCUUUUUGGGUUCAACCAGUGGCUCAGACGAGAAAUAGCGAGCAAUUGGGAUUUUGGAAUUUAUGGGGUUUUUAGGGUCUGCGAAAUGAACUUGAAGUGAAGGCGUGCGGAGCGAACAGAAAUAGCGAAGAGAGGGGGAAGAGGAGUGUACCUGGAAAUGAUGAUGGGAGGCAUGAGCAGGGGUUAUGAGGGACGAGCGAGGGUACUUUCGGAAGAGAAGUGACCGCCAUAAAUGUCUCAUUUCUAUGUUCCUGAGUCCUUUUUUUGGGGGGGUCAAGGUAUGAUCUUGAGACUUGAGGGAGAGAUAUUGGUAUGGUGUAUUUUAGGGUUUUAGCGG